rnacentral:lncRNA from 1 species
GUUUUAUUUCCUAGUAUUAUCUGUGUUGGAUUUUCAUUUUAGGUUACUGCUGACCCAAGAAAGGGACCUGGAAGUGCUUCUUCUUCCAUUUGUCUUGUAUUUUGGCCCUUUUAUGUUGUUAUCACAAAAUACUAGAAACCAGGUAAUUCAUACAGAAGAAAAGUGUAUGCAGUUCACAGUUCUGGAAACUUGGCAGUCCCAGAGCAUGGAGUCUCACCUGCACAGCAUCUGGUUGUUUCCUAGACCUGACUGAGAAUCCCAGUUGGGCUUGCAGGUGCUCAGGGUGCCUUCGUCAUUUACAUGAGCCCCAGGUUCCUGGAAUCCAAAUGAGAAGAGGUCACCUGAAGGCAAGAGAACAGAAAAUGGGGCGACCACUCUACGGUCCUUGUCUCUCCAGUCCCCCGUUCCCUGCAGCUACAGAUGGCUCUUCAAACUCUGGACGCUUCCUUAUGCCUGCCUCACUGCUUCACACCUGCUCAUCAUAGGUACCCAGAUAUACCACUGCCAGACAUCAUGGAAGACGUGUGUUCUAUGCUUGUGGAGAAACUAGCUUUAACUUGGAGAUGGAGCAAUUGAAGCAUAAGCAUUAUAAAUGGCCAAUUGGCUCAGUG